rnacentral:piRNA from 1 species
UGGGAUGUGUGAUUUGGUUCAGUGGACAGGC